GCUCUCGGCGCGGAGCCGCCGGGGAACGAGCGAGGGAGGGUCCCCGGGCAGGCCGGCGACCGUGAGCGCCGCUGCUCCGAACGCCCGACCCUCGGCCCGGACAUAGGGGAGGAGGCGCCGCUCGCCUGCACCAGGCGACAUGGCGGCGGGAGGGUGUCCCCGGGCAGGACGGGGCACAUCUGGCCGGGCUGGUGUUCCAGGGGGAAAGGGACCCUUGUGGGCCUGACAGCGCCAAAAUAAAGGUCCUGAUUGAAAGGUUCAGUGCGCGAACGCUUCUGUAUAUUUUACAGAUCAGAGCACAGGGGAAAAACGUGAUGCUCGGAGUAGGUGGAGUGAAGUCCAGAGAGGUCGCACCUCAUCCCCCAUGGAUUCUCCUCUGCAUCCCUGCGGCUGCGGAACCCGCAUGUGGUGUCAAGCAGUAAGCCCAGCUCGUGAAGACGUUGAAAAUGAGUUUGUUACCUGGGGGUUGUUCUGGAGGGAAUUGCAAUAGCGUUGUGUCAGGAAAGAGGAUGCGGGGGCGUGUCAAAGCGUGUAUUUUAUAGUCGAUGAAAUAUAGAAGGAAGGCCUAUUAGUGCUAAGUGUUUACUAAAUGGAGAGACAAAAGGCUGAACGUUAACAUGAAGGGAAAGUUUCUCACUGCUGAGAAGCAGAAAUUUAUUACUCCUGGACCCUCAUUGUUCCAUUCACAAAGCUCAUCAUCGACCGCAGGGCUGGUAUGUGAUAAACCAAUGCUUUGAGAAUUAGUAAGGUAUUUAAACUGUGAUAUAGCCCACUAAUGGGUGAACUGUAUUAUUAGAUAUUUCAUUGACUGAAUGACUGUACUUACAAGAACUGUUUAAUUGUCUUAUUCCAGGAUAUGAGGUGCCUAAAGAAUAAAAUAAGCUCCCAAGAUAAUAGAAUAACAAAACGGAAAUGCAUUAAUGGAAGAUACCAAAUAUUAAAGUAAAACAACUCAAAAGUAUUUUAAUGGUAUAAGUUCCUACACAAAAGGCAGCAUUGACAGAACAAGGCGUAACCGUUAAAAUCAAAAUUACAAACAAUUUAUAAUGAGCUGUUUUUAGAAGCUCAUGAUUUAAAAAAAAAACAAACUAAAUGGUUUUGGCAGAAAUUGUACAGGCUGGCCUGAAUGAAAGCAGUGCUGUUGUUGGUACUAUCUGGAGUUGGCUGGUUGACUUAGUUCGGUGGACAAGAAUACACUCUUUGCUUCUAGCUAAAAAAUCCCACUGCCUUUUUUUAUUUUUGAAACAUCAAGAGGCCAGAAUUCUCACCCUUGGCAAUGGUAGUCUGAUGAGGCAUAUCGCUCAUGUGAAAGCCAAGUUGUACUUUAUUUCAGAUCUAAGGUGACAAAGCCUUGCAUGUUUGAGGGCAAUUGGAUCAAAAUAUCAAGAUACCAUAUUUGUGCCAUCAUGCUGCCAUCCAGCCUCAGCUUUUCCAGUUUUGAGUUAGAGCUGAAGCACCUCAGGAGUCCUGGCAGUGACAAGGAGCACCUGAUAGUCAACAGCUGUGUCAGCCCCUUUCUAGCUCUUGGGGAAGUGAGCCUGUGUCUGGAGCAAGCCUUGUUGUACCAAAUCAAAGUUAACGUUGUCAUCUUACGAAUCUGAGCUGCCAUGUCUGUUGUUUAGGGUCCAUGCUCUCAGUUCACUUGGCUGACAGCAAGAGCCCUGUGUUACUGAGAAACUUUUCUGGAAGAAUUGGGUAUUUGGUAUAGUCCCAGCUGCUUUGAGUGUGUGGGUGUAUAAUGCACUGUAAACAUUUCCAGCAACAUACACAGAAUUUUGAAAUUAAGAUCAGUUUUAUUAUAUUGCAGGCUGCUAUUAUGCAGUCUGUAAUCUUCAGCUGACCACUAAUGCUAUUCUUUGACCUGCAAUUCAGGAGCACAUUUUCAGUGUCCUGUCAUUCUCAGUAUUUAAACUCAGCUCAUUUUUGUAUUCUUUUAGUGCUGAUAUCUGCUCUGUUUCCGGUCCUGUGUGCUUAGUCUCGUCAACUAUUGAACUAAUACAUUGUUUGUAACAGAAAAUCAAGGUAUUUUCUUUUGCACCAGAAAAACUGAUGAAGAUGUAAACUCUUUUCUCACACUGCAAUCUCUAGCAUAACAACGUGACAAGUCAGCUCUGUUUAUGAAGUGUUCAGCACCUUCAGCUGAAGCUUUUUCCCCUCCAUUUCUAAUGUAUGUGUUCUGGCAGUGUGGGGUGAUCCACAGUGGAGGACUAAGCCAUUUUAAAGUUGACAGCAUCACAUGCAGAAAUGUUCAUUUGCACAUCACCUAAAAUAUGACUUCAAGACAAACCACCAUUGUAUAAUAUCUGCCCACAUGCUUAAUGUUGUAUAAUUAUUUCCAGUACACUGAGUAUCAUGUAUAAUUACUUCCAAUGCACUUAAUACGAAAAAAAGCUUCUCUGAACAUACAGGCAGUACUUUGGAUGAUGUUACUGGUUUACUCUGUACUCACAUCCCCUGCCCCAAGGCUUAACUAGUUUUUCUGAACGGUCCAAAGGAAGUAGUGGAGGGAAAAGGCUGAUGUACCAGUAAUUUAGUAGGUUGAUGGGAGGAGAAUAUGUGACUUGCAGCUUGCACAGUAAGGAGCUGUUUGACAUGUUCCUGUCUUUCUCCACAGAGGAUAACUCACUUUUUGUUUUGUAUAGCUGCAAAGCUAUUCAAAUCAGCUGCCACUAAAUCUAAAUAGAGUAGCUUGGCUCUUUGAGAAUAUACCCACUGGGAGAGAUGAAAGAUAUGUAGACUCAUAGGUGAGGCCACUCCUACAGAAUCCUUUCUUUUACUGGCUGUCAUUAAAAGUAAUAAGUAGCAAGGAGACGUCUUGUGAUGAGGCUGUUAUUAGAAGGAAGAAAAAAGAUUUGUUUUACUUCAUGAAUCAUCUGCAAAAAAAUUUAAAGCAGCUUUGUUCAAGGUGAUUUUUGAGCAGGCAUUGCUGUAUAUUGUGUUAUUCUCUGAGUAAAAUGAAAAGACUUCAAAUAAAGCAAUCAUCUUCCAAAGUUUUGAAAUGGUAUGUUUAGUAGGAAAAAAAAAUCCUUUUUCUUUUUUUUUUUAUCAAAGUUUUAUGCUUCUAGGUCUAUAAUUUAUGAUAUGCACUUGUGUCCAGUAUAAUUGACUCAGGUGAGCAGCAGAUGCAAUAACUGCUUCCUUUUUGGUGAGGAGAGUCAGGAGGCCUCCAGGCAUUUCCUGAGGCACUGGAGAGACCUGUGCUCAGUCAAUUAUUUCUUGAUGCAGAAAGUCUUGCUGACUAGCAACUUGGAUUAAAUGAUCUAUCUAGGGAGAGAAGGAAGUCAGGACAUUGAAAGGAUUCAAGUGAAGGAUCUUCUGAUGUAUCUUCCAGUUAAAGUCUUCCUGCUCUGCAUUGAAGAAUAUGACUAAUGGGGACUUAUUCUGGUCUAAUUAAUAAUACUUAUUCCUCUCCAAGCCUACUUCUCAAUAAGUGUAUGAGAGACAUUGGUGUGGCUUCUCAGUAUUGCUUUAAAAUUUCCUUUUUUUGCUGUUGCCUGAUGUAGAAAUGACUGUAGUAGCAUUAAGUUAUGUCAUGAGUCUAAGUGGUGCAUUUCUAAGAUUUUUUUGUGAAUUUUUAUUGAUAACCAUUGGUUUUGAAGGUUGGAGUUUUUUACUUCAGUAACAAUGAAUUGUGCAUUUCAGUCUAUAAAGUUUUGUGCAUUUAUGUAAAAAAUGAAUAUAAUCACAUUAUUUCACCACUUUGGUCAUUAUUAGCAUGUUCCUUUUGCAAGGAACUUGAAUUUCUCAUUUCUGAGUAGCCCACAUAUUCUUUUGCUGUGUCUGUGGACGGACAUGAUUAUGGUGCCUUGACUGACUUGGGUACAUCUAAUCAUGCCAUGAAUGCUGCUGGCAGUAAUAGCAGUUGUAGUGUGUGAAUUAUUUUGUGUGCACAUUGCUGAACUGCUCCCUCUCAGAGUGGUCUGGCAUGGUGACUGAUACCCAUUGUAUACUGUUGACCUUUUUCUCCUGCCACCACCAGUUCCCUUGGAAGUGCACUCUCCUACCAAUUUAGCUGUCACCGUGUCCAAAUCUGUCCUAAAGAGGCUCUUUGAUUACAUCCACAAGGUACAAAGUAUUCCCAAGAAAGCAAGAACUUCCAAAUUACUUUCCAGUUUAUUUUCUUUCCAGCAUCUUCUAAGAUGGAGACCCUUUAUUAUAGGAUAAUCUUUAUAUUCUUUUCCAUAGGCUGACCUGUGGGUUUUUUUUCUUAGUAGAUACCUGUGUAAUAUAAAAUACAAGAAUGCCAUGUGCUCGAUAGCAAAGCUGAAGGCUACCUUCUCAUCCUCUCUGCAUGUCGAGUUGUUGUCUUUAAUGCAUCACUUCAUUCAUUUUUUCAGUUUUUUUGCAGGCUGGGAAAUAAAAGCAGAGCCAGUGAGCUGCACUGCCAGGUAAGAGUUGGAACCCAAACCAUGCUUCCCAUUACCAAAUUCCCCAAGGCUUCAUUGUUCUAGUAUUUGAGGUUUAUAGAAAAUAACUGCCUGGUUUCUCUCUAUGCCUGUAAAUGAUUAUAGGCCUCACAUUUCUAACCUCUUCUAAUUCUGCCAGUAACAGCAAUACAGCCUCCAUGUGGUAACCUAGUUGUUCACAUCCAUAAACUUCUUUAAUCUUUGUCCAAAUUCCCAUUUCUGCCAAAGAAUGCAUCAGGUAACAAGAUAAGACACAGGGAAAUGUAACCCUUGCCCCAAAUAACCUGUCAUGAACUGUAAUGUUUUAUCACAAGAACUGUACUUUGCACAGUUGUGUAAAAGAGCAACCAUCUGCCUGCCAAACCUGCAGCUCUCCCACGCUCUGUGGCGCUGACACCAGGAUUCCCAGGUUUUGCCUGUCGGAUUACUGCUGCCAGCUGGUUCUUUCCAAAGCCAUGGCUGCUGGGUAGCAGCACCAAGGCAGCAUUGUUGAGUUUGUGCCCUGCACGCAUCCAUGCUUGGUACAAUGAGGAAGAGGAGGCUGCAAGGUUCCCUCAGUGUAGGCUGUUGGGGGCAUACAGCAGCAGAGCAAGAAGGAAGAACAGCAGAUACAGCUGAAAUAUUCCAUGUUUAAAAUAAUUCAGUCUAAUGCUGGUUAUAGCCUCCCUUUUAGUGUACGUACGUGUGCAGGUUUUGGUCAUAUGGAUCACUCCCUGAGAAACCUUUGUUCUCCUCAAAUUUCUCAUGACUCCAGUGUGCUUUAAUCUUUUUCAUAAGAGCUGUGUAAUUCUGUGGCACUCCACCAAGGAAAAGGCUUUAACUAUGUCAUGAAAGAGUUGUUUAAAAUCCCAAGUACAAACCUGUGUAUUACUACAUGUAACAGAAGACUUAAACAGAAUUUAUUAAUAAGCCUAAACUUGUUCCAGGCAUCUUGAGUGAAAAACGCUGUUAGCUAGCUCAGUAAAUACUAGUGAGGCUGAACUGCCAAUUUGCAAAUAGACUGGCUAUAUCAAGAAAGAUGACACUGGCCUUCCAUUUAAUAGUUCAGGUAUUUGAAUAAUUUUACAUUCCAUUUUAAUCUUUCUUUGGUAGCUUGUAUUUCUGGAUAGAGCUUCAGGUACUGAGAAAUGGAUGGAACAUAAGCUGAAUAGGUCUGCUUUUUCCCAGUGAGAAACUGAGUUAUGUGAGGGAACAGCUCCCAGCUGCUGUCUCACUGCUGCUUCCAUAUGCUGCAUAAACACCACUGUUGGAAGUAACUAUAGAUCAUGGGCUGCAGGGUCUUUGGUGGUGUUACCACACUUGUUUCUCAGCCUUUGUUGCAGAAAGAAAGAUGCGGUCCUAAAUGACCUAGGAGGUUCUUGGUGGUAAGGGAUAGAUUCUCAAAGAUGCUACAACUAAACAGGCAUGUGCAGCUGCCAAAGGAUGGCUAAGUGCUUUGGAAACAUUUUAGGCCUCUAAACAUAUUGAAAAGGUAGAUUUCUCUUGGAGUUCUUUUUGUUCACCUUAUCACAUUAUUGAUCAAUUCUUUGAGCCAGGCUUUAUAAUUACUGUCAGGCUGCAGAUGGCUAUUAGGAGAAGCCUGCAGGACACAAAACAAAGAAUUAAAGUGUCUGCAGCAAAGCUGGACAUGUAAAGUUACAUAUUUGGGUGUGAGAUUUUCUAACAACUCAUUUCCACUUAAAGAGGUUCUGUGCCCUUCUCCCUGUCCGCCUUCUGCCUUGGCCUACCUCCCCUUACAUGCACUGGCUUGUGUUUUCUGACCCUGCACCAAGCCAAUUCUAAUUACUGGAAUUGAGAAGAAUAUUAAACUGGAAAAAAGGUGAAUCGUUUGUGAUAGCUAUGGAGUUGAUUCAAAGCAUGAAUGUACUCAUGAGCACAGAGUUAAUGCAAAGGAUGUGACUGGAUGUGGGUCUAGGGAAAGGAAGAGGAGAAAAACUAAACGAGCUUUACAGCAAUGGAAAUGUUGUUAAUGUUCUUUGUUAAAAAGUGCCACUACUCCUGAAUAACAAAUGGUCAAAUUCUGUUCAUGCAGAGUCCAGCAUCAUCCUACAUAUGCAUGUUACCUUGGUCAUUAUGGUUUUGUCUUUCACAGUGUGGGUCUCAGUGGGUAAAGCUGUGACUGCAGUAUGGCAGAUCAGUGAGACACCAGCAGCAAGGCUUUGCUCUGAGGGAGGGUGGUCAACAGUAGUGACAUAUUUUGUAAGCUUGCCUCUCAGCUCUCUCCAGGUGAUAAUGUCUCUUGCCAGCUCCAUGGGACGAAGUAAUGACAACUAUUUUUGUCAACACUUUCUAAUGAUGGGCACUCUUAGUGAUACCAACAGCUGUAUGGAAGUCUUGCAAAGUCAAAUGAAGAACUUCAGGUGAGAACCACUGGACACUUUUUCCUGUAAACACUGAUGCCAGAUUUGUAUAUGGUAGCAAUCAGAAAACACUAAAUUAUUCAUUUAUGUCCUGAUUUCAUAAUUCCUUUAAGAAACAGAACAUGAUUUUGCCCACUGUAAAAUAAAGACAAUAGCUGCUAUUCCGUUGCAUAUUGUACUUGUGAAGGAAGCAAGUUUCCGCAUCUCAGGUUUCUGCAUUUGUUAAGCUGUCCCACUUGCACACCAACUUCUUCAAGACCUACAGAGCCACUCAGUAGCAGAAUCCAAAACAGAAUUAAACCUGAGAGAAGAAUCAGAAUAUAGAAACUGUCCUAUUUGAUGGGGAAAUACUUGAUUGACUGCACUAAGGACAUAGUUUAUUUUAAAUAUUCUAAUCCUUUUAAAAUACUAAGAGAUCUAAAAGUAGAUACUGCAACUUUGAAAUGGAAUAUUGCUAUUUUUGGGGAUGGUACCAAAAGUAGAUGUAAUUGCCAAAAAUACACAGAAAUAUUUAGCUGUUUUUCAGCAAGCACUGACCAAAUAAAGGAGCUCCCCUGGAUCAAGCUGGAUGUUAAUUAGUGACCCAUCACUAGGGUCUUUGCUUCUGAAAGUUUAACACCACUAUUUUAUAAUAAACCUAUAAGAUGCUGCAUUUUAGAAAAUACUGACCACAUUCCUUGCUCCUUCUGUCAACCUGAACAAUUUCAUCUGAACUAAACAGAUGUUUAGUUUAGCUGUUCUCAUGCUUCCCUAAAAUCUCUGCUCUCUGCUUAGAUCUUAGGCUGCUUGGAGUUUAAAACAAUGAAAAUUUGUGGAUGUGUUUUUUGUAUUGUUCUUUGGCCAUACUAUGGUUAUCUAUAAUCAAUACAGGGUGUUUUCCAUGGUAAAUUACAUCAAUAUGUGGCAGCAGUGCUGUGAAAAUCAGGUUUCCAAUUCCUUGGUAGUCAGGAAUUUCUGACUACCAAUAUGAUGCUAUUUGAAAUCAUCUAAAAGGAUCAAAUAUUCUGUAAGAAAAUAAAUGAACAAAUCCUUUUUAUCAAUUCAUAUUGGUUUUCUGUUGCUGUAUCACCAAAUGAAACCAGAAAGAUAAGGAAUUCUUUUUUUUUCAGAGAAAAUGAAUUCAUUUCUUAUCUUUGGCAAAAUUUGGCUGGUCUAUAUCCUUGAGUGAUGUCAUGUUAUUUAUCUGAGCUAAUAAAAAGACCAGUGACUCAGCUUCUGUAACUUAUAAUUCAAUCUCAGGUGAAAAGUUUGAACAGCAUGCCAAUAUUUCAUCCUAAUGUUAAUGUAUUAUCUUCGGGAGAGACCAAGGGGAGCCUUCUGGAAUGCAAAAAUGAAUACAUUUAGCCAUAAAUAUUUUUAAGUCCUCUGCUUGUUUUCCAGGUGGCACCUGUUAUUCCUAAGUGACUUUAAUUCAUUUGGAUUGACAGAUCAAAUUUGCCAUCAACUCUGCUACUUUCCAACCAAAACUGGUAGGAAACAUACUAAAACAGAAAAAGGGAUAAUUAUGGCAAGAAGUAUUUUUUGUCUGCUUCAUUAGGAUGACCAUCUGCAAUGAAGAAUAGUGGGAUUUUCUACACGACUUCUGAAGACCAUCUCUACAUAAGAAAGGAAAUUUAAUAAGGCAAAGCUGAAGUGUGUGCUCACCAGCAGUGGUUGGGCCACUCACCAUGGGUAUCAGGCUGCGAGACAGAACAUGCCCCUUGUCAGGGAGCCCUUCAACUAGAUGGUAUUUAGAGGUCAUGAGAAGAAACAUGCUGAAGAAGUACAGCUGAGGUGAGGAGAAAGUCUUAAAGAGCUUUAGGAGAGGUUAUUGUUGGGGCAGAUAAGAAAAUAAAGCAUGAGUUCAAAAUAAACCAGGCUUCACCAGGUUUACUGUUUGCAGAAUUAAAUGAUUAUUCCCAGGAACUGACCACAACUCUGUGUGCUGUGACUGCUCAGAUAAAACAACUUCUAAAAUAACCCUUUCAGUAUUUAGAGGUCAAGCCCUACCUCUGAUCAGCUUAUGAUGCAAUUUAGUAAUUUUCCAUUUCCAAAUUGAUAAUUUUCAAACACAUGCUUUUGAUGCUUUUUCCAAGAAGCACUCUCUCUUCUCUGAAAAAGUAAUUGUAAACACCUCAUAGCCACCUAAUUAUUUUCUCUGAAAGUCCUCAGGCCCACUAAACUCUUAAGGAUAGUUGAGUGGUUGCUAUACUGAAACUGCUGCCUCUGAUUGAUUCUGUUUCCUGUUACUUUCUACCUCAUGGCUCCCAGUCCAAGUGCUUCUGUUGAGACUUUUUCUUUGCUGAGCACAAUGAAAGUCUUAAGUCAACACACCUGCCUGUGUCUAUAAAAAAUUAUGGUAAUGCAAGUAAAUGAAUGUGGAUAUAUUACUGUACUAGUUCUAUCCUGAAUGUGUGAAUGUUAGUGGUGUUCCUUGUAAACUGAAGGGUCUUGAAGUUGUUACGACAGUGUCUCUAAAACACACUGAGACCUGCAAAGUUGCCUGGUUAAUCUGGGCACUCAGUUGUUUGUGGAAAGAGGUUGAGAAGCAGGAUCGAGCUGUACCUGCAAAAGGGGCAGCCACGGACAACAACAAAAGGAGGAGACAAAACUGAAGAAUCUGCUACAUCAUUUGCUGAUCCCCGUGAUAAUGUUGAAUGAAAAGAGUCACUUCAAUAACCUUGGUAGCAAUUUGUGCUUUGUCACAGUGACUCUCAGCCUUUUGUAAAGCAGGGUGUUGAAUUCAAGACUGGCCUCAGUGAAAAUGUAGUUGCUCCCACAAGCAUAUUCUUGUCUUAGGAUCACUUGUUAAUGCAUAUUUAUUUAGUGAUUUACUUUCUGGGAACAAUUCAAUUCACGUUCACUUUUUCAUUAUCAGCAAAAACUCAUUACCCUGUUUUUCAGAAGGCACAAAUGAGACAGCAAGUGAGGUAGUUAGUAGCUUAAAGCCAUGCAGUGGGUCAGUGAGUCAUCAGCAGAGCAGUUUGAAUGUCAGGCAGGUUUUGUUUUGUGUUUCA